rnacentral:rRNA from 1 species
CCUACGGGAGGCAGCAGUGAGGAAUAUUGGUCAAUGGGCGGAAGCCUGAACCAGCCAAGUCGCGUGCAGGAUGACGGCCCUACGGGUUGUAAACUGCUUUUAUACGGGAAUAACGCGCCUUACGUGUAGGGCUUUGCAUGUACCGUAUGAAUAAGCACCGGCUAAUUCCGUGCCAGCAGCCGCGGUAAUACGGAAGGUCCGGGCGUUAUCCGGAUUUAUUGGGUUUAAAGGGGGCGUAGGCCGCAUGUCAAGCGUGCUGUGAAAUGUCCGGGCUCAACCCGGGCCUGGCAGCGCGAACUGGCGGGCUAGAGUCCGCGGAAAGCAGGCGGAAUUCGUCGUGUAGCGGUGAAAUGCUGAGAUAUGGCGAAGAACCCCGAUUGCGAAGGCAACUUGCUGCAGCGGAACUGACGCUGAUGCUCGAAAGCGCGGGUAUCGAACAGGAUUAGAUACCCGAGUAGUC